CCUACGGGUGGCAGCAGUGAGGAAUAUUGGUCAAUGGGCGUAAGCCUGAACCAGCCAAGUCGCGUGAGGGAUGAAGGUUCUAUGGAUCGUGAACCUCUUUUAUAAGGGAAUAAAGUGUGGGACGUGUCCUGUUUUGUAUGUACCUUAUGAAUAAGGAUCGGCUAACUCCGUGCCAGCAGCCGCGGUAAUACGGAGGAUCCGAGCGUUAUCCGGAUUUAUUGGGUUUAAGGGGUGCGUAGGCGGCCUUUUACGUCAGCGGUGAAAGUCUGUGGCUCAACCAUAUAAUUGCCGUUGAAACUGGGAGGCUUGAGUAUGUUUGAGGCAGGCGGAAUGCGUGGUGUAGCGGUGAAAUGCUUAGAUAUCACGCAGAACCCCGAUUGCGAAGGCAGCCUGCCAAGCCAUGACUGACGCUGAUGCACGAAAGCGUGGGGAUCAAACAGGAUUAGAUACCCCAGUAGUC
rnacentral:rRNA from 1 species